rnacentral:rRNA from 1 species
GAUGAACGCUGGCGGCGUGCCUAACACAUGCAAGUCGAACGGAGAUGCGAUGUGAGCGAGAGGUGCUUGCACUGAUUAAUCUUUUCGUAUCUUAGUGGCGGACGGGUGAGUAACGCGUGGGUAACCUGCCUUAUACCGGGGGAUAACACUUAGAAAUAGGUGCUAAUACCGCAUAAGCGCACGGUGUCGCAUGACACAGUGUGAAAAACUCCGGUGGUAUAAGAUGGACCCGCGUCUGAUUAGCCAGUUGGCAGGGUAACGGCCUACCAAAGCGACGAUCAGUAGCCGGCCUGAGAGGUGAACGGCCACAUUGGGACUGAGACACCGGCCAAACUUCCACGGGAGCAGCA